rnacentral:tRNA from 1 species
GACCAGAGAGCCUAAUGGUUAAAGGCAGCAUAUCUAGCGUACAUGCUGAGGUCCUGGGUUCAAAUCCCGGUCUGGUCA